UACGAAGGGGGCUAGCGUUGCCCGGAAUUACUGGGCGUAAAGGGAGCGUAGGCGGGUCGGCAAGUUGGGGGUGAAAGCCCAGGGCUCAACCUUGGAAUUGCCUUCAAAACUGACGAUCUAGAGUAUGGAAGAGGUAAGUGGAACUCCGAGUGUAGAGGUGAAAUUCGUAGAUAUUCGGAGGAACACCAGUGGCGAAGGCGGCUUGCUGGUCCAUGACUGACGCUGAGGCUCGAAAGCGUGGGGAUCAAACAGG
rnacentral:rRNA from 1 species